UACAGAGGUCCCGAGCGUUGUUCGGAUUCACUGGGCGUAAAGGGUGCGUAGGUGGCUUGAUAAGUUUGAUGUGAAAGCUCAGGGCUUAACCCUGAAAUGGCAUUGAAUACUGUCGGGCUGGAGGUUUGGAGGGGGGACUGGAAUUCUUGGUGUAGCAGUGAAAUGCGUAGAUAUCAAGAGGAACACCAGUGGCGAAGGCGAGUCCCUGGACAACACCUGACACUGAGGCACGAAAGCUAGGGGAGCAAACAGG
rnacentral:rRNA from 1 species